rnacentral:rRNA from 1 species
UAACGCUGGCGGCAGGCCUAACACAUGCAAGUCGAGCGUGAAAGGAGGCUUCGGUCUCCGAGUAAAGCGGCGCACGGGUGAGUAACACGUGAAUAAUCUGCCCUUGUGACCGGGAUAACAGAUCGAAAGAACUGCUAAUACCGGAUAAGCUUCCGCGCCAACCGGGCGUGGGGGAAAAGUGCGGGACCUUCGGGCCGCACGCAUGAGGAUGAGUUCGCGUCCCAUUAGAUAGUUGGUGAGGUAAUGGCUCACCAAGUCGACGAUGGGUAGCUGGUCUAAGAGGAUGAUCAGCCACACUGGAACUGAGACACGGUCCAGACUCCUACGGGAGGCAGCAGUGGGGUAUCUUGCGCAAUGGAGGAAACUCUGACACAGCCAUGCCGCGUGAGUGAUGAAGGCCCUCGGGUUGUAAAGCUCUGUCUAAGGGGACGAACGGCUUUGUGAACAAGAGACGCAAAGAUUGACGGUACCCUUAAAGAAAACACCGGCUAACUCCGUGCCAGCAGCCGCGGCAAUACGGGGGGUGUAAGCGUUGUUCGGAAUUACUGGGCGUAAAGGGCGUGCAGGCGGUCGCCGCAAGUUGAAUGUGAAAUCCCUGGGCUUAACCCAGGACGUGCGUUCAAGACUGCGGGACUUGAAUACGGAGAGGGUCGUGAUUCUGUGUAGAGGUGAAAUUCGUAGAUAUCAGGAGGAACACUCGUGGCGAAGCGACGACCUGACCGAUAUUGACGCUGAACCGAGCUGGUAGCAACAGAUAGAUACCUGUAGUCACGCGUAAAC